GAUGAUGAUGACGAUGAUGAUGAUUAUUGUUGUUGUUAUUGUUGUUUUUUUUGUUAUUGUUAUUGUUAUUUUGGGAUACUGGGAAUAUAUUUUGGGAUACUGGGGUAUUUGUAGUACAGGGCUGUCCAGCCCUGGCACGGCUGCCCAGGGCAGUGGUGGAGUCCCCACCCCUGGAUUUAACAGAGGUGUGAAUGUGGCACUUGGGGACAUGGGCUAGUGGUGGCCGUGGCAGUGCUGGGGGAGCAGCUGGGGGUGAUUCUGCAAUUCGUGGGUGUGAUUCCACAAUUCGUGGGGGUGAUUUCCUGAUUUGUGGGGGUGAUUCCCUGAUAUGUGGGGGUGAUUCCCCAAUUCGUGGGGGUGAUUCCCUGAUUCGUGGGGGCAAUUCCCCAAUUCUGUGGCACUGGAUUCUGAUGCUGCCACGGCUGUGCCCGUGUGGCCUCAAAGCUGUCAAGGGUUGAAAAGGGCCGGUGUUUUUUAUGCUGCAAAGCAGCACCAGUGUUGGAGUUCUGUCUGCUGGAAUUUUAGAUUUUCUGUGCUGGCAGACUCUGACCCCCAGGAGAACACUGCAUUUGACCCGAGGCCGUGGAAAGGCUUCCAAAAUGGAAUGACAGCCCCGGGAUUACGGAUGUGUAAUACCACAGGGUGGAAAACUCACGACUUUUAACAGAGAUAAGAAAUAGUAAACAUCUGAGUCUGAACGUGAAAUACCAUCUGGAGCGCUUCAAUCCAGACCUCGGCAAACCAGAUUCUCUUCUGCUUUAGUGUUCAAGUCUGGGCUUCACAUGAGGGGAUGGUGAGCUCUUCACAGAGCAGGGAGACAAAACAAUUCCUUCUCUAGCUGGGGACCAAGGACACAUGAUCCAAAUCUCAGGCCCAAGAGCACAAACAAUGUGGGCUGAAGAGAGAAAAACAACUAUUGGAAUUCAUAACCUAAAGCUGUAAUUGGACAAUGAACUCCAAUAUGCUAAUGGACCAAAACUUAUAAACGAGAGACCCCGUGACCUGUUGCCCAUUUCUGUGGCCAUUUUGGGUUGUACUACCCAAGGUGGGUCUAUUUGAGGCCUCUUAAUAAAUCCCUACUUUGUUCUUUA